rnacentral:tRNA from 3 species
GCGGGUGUAGUAUAAUGGUAGUACAAGGGUUUCCAAAACCCUUUGCGUGGGUUCGAUUCCUACCACCCGUGCCA